rnacentral:rRNA from 1 species
UACGUAGGGUGCAAGCGUUGUCCGGAAUUAUUGGGCGUAAAGAGCUCGUAGGCGGUCUGUCGCGUCGGCUGUGAAAUCCCGAGGCUCAACCUCGGGUCUGCAGUCGAUACGGGCAAACUAGAGUAUUGCAGGGGAGACUGGAAUUCCUGGUGUAGCGGUGAAAUGCGUAGAUAUCUGGAGGAACACCGGUGGCGAAGGCGGCAUCCUGGACCAACACUGACGCUGAGUGAGCGAAAGCCAGGGGAGCAAACGGG